GAUGAACGCUGGCUACAGGCUUAACACAUGCAAGUCGAGGGGAAACGACGGGGAAGCUUGCUUCCCCGGGCGUCGACCGGCGCACGGGUGAGUAACGCGUAUCCAACCUGCCUCUGACUGAGGGAUAACCCGUCGAAAGUCGGCCUAAUACCUCAUGGUAUCGUCUGCGGGCAUCCAACGACGAUUAAAGAUUUCAUCGGUCAGGGAUGGGGAUGCGUCUGAUUAGCUUGUUGGCGGGGUAACGGCCCACCAAGGCUACGAUCAGUAGGGGUUCUGAGAGGAAGGUCCCCCACAUUGGAACUGAGACACGGUCCAAACUCCUACGGGAGGCAGCAGUGAGGAAUAUUGGGCGAUGGGCGAGAGCCUGAACCAGCCAAGUAGCGUGCAGGAAGACGGCCCUAUGGGUUGUAAACUGCUUUUAUGCGGGGAUAAAGUGAGGGACGUGUCCCUCAUUGCAGGUACCGCAUGAAUAAGGACCGGCUAAUUCCGUG
rnacentral:rRNA from 1 species